rfam:Pseudoalteromonas sp. P1-25 AN393_contig000034, whole genome shotgun sequence.
UAACACCUUGCCCCGUCAUCACGUCCUGACAAUAAGUAAUUGAUGAGUAAUAUCGCGCAUGAAUGCGCGAUAAGGCGAAAUUAGGCCAUGGAUGGACUACCUUCGCCGCUUACGUUCAUAUCAACUAUGUUUUGAAGGAUUGAGCGUGAUACUCGGGUGACGCUAGG